UCCGUAGGUGAACCUGCGGAAGGAUCAUUAAAGAAUCGCCCCGUUUUUUGAAAUGGGUUCUAUUCCCAAACCGUGUAUACAUACCUUUGUUGCUUUGGCAGGCCGCCUUUUAGGCGUCGGCUCCGGCUGACUGCGCCUGCCAGAGGACCCAAACUCGUUUGUUUAGUGAUGUCUGAGUACUAUAUAAUAGUUAAAACUUUCAACAACGGAUCUCUUGGUUCUGGCAUCGAUAAAGAACGCAGCGAAAUGCGAUAAGUAAUGUGAAUUGCAGAAUUCAGUGAAUCAUCGAAUCUUUGAACGCACAUUGCGCCCCUUGGUAUUCCGAGGGGCAUGCCUGUUCGAGCGUCAUUAUAACCACUCAAGCCUCGGCUUGGUCUUGGGGUUCGCGGUCUCGCGUCCCUUAAAAUCAGUGGCGGUGCCGUCUGGCUCUAAGCGUAGUAAUUCUCUCGCUAUAGGGUCCCGGCGGUUGCCUGCCAGAACCCCCCAUUUUUUACGGUUGACCUCGGAUCAGGUAGGGAUACCCGCUGAACUUAAGCAUAUC
rnacentral:rRNA from 1 species